UUUAUUCGGGCGUCAGGAUUAAAAUUCACCCAUAGAUAUUUUGCGAAUCAAAAAUGUUUUUGCUGGGGCGUAAACAAAGAUAAGUUGGGCGUCAGGAAAAACCCCGUCUUUGCGCACGCGGCCUCGGUCCCUCGAGCCGAGGCGCGGUGCGUGAGCGGGGCUGGGGCGGAAGGAGGCGGCGGAGCGGUGCGCGAGCGGGGCUGGGGCGGAAGGAGGCGGCGGAGCGGUGCGGCCGGCCGGAGUGGCCUCUAGUGGCGGCGGCGCUGGUCCAGUGCACCGGCGGGGACGGAAGAGGAGGAGGGAGUGGAAGGAGGGAGGGAGAGUGGUAGAGAGAGGGGGAGAGUAACGUCACGGUGGUACCGGCGGGGCUCGAAGCGGCCGUCGGCGCGGCGGGCGGAGGCCGGUGCUGAGGCUGCCCUAGGCCGGCGGUGACGGGCCUAGGCGUAGGAGACGAGGCGGCGCGGGGCCUAGGCCGGUGGUGGUUCGGAGGGCGCAGCUAGGAGGGCAGGCGGCCGGAGGGGGACGAGCUAGACCCACCUGCCCGCUUCAAAGACUGAACGGCCCCGCCGGUACCGUCCCUCCGUCGCGACACGAGCCCGCGGGCGUAGUCCGCCGCCGUCGCUCCGCCCUCCGUACUCACCUCUACUUCCUCCUUUUGUACUUCUCAGCCGGUCUCGCUCCUCAAGAGGCCGUAGUUUCGGUGCCUGGUGCCGCCGCGUUCGAACGCUCCCCGCCGUCGGUACCGCCCCUCCGCCGCGAUGCGAGCCCGCAGCGUAAUCCGCCGUCGUCGCUCGCCCUAUCGUGUGCCUCUCCUUCCUCCUCUUUUACUUCUCCGCAGGCCCUCGCUCCUGGAGUGGCCACAGAUUCAGAGACGGCCCGCCCUGCGCGUCCGCGCGCUCCCCGUGCUGUGAGGAGAGGACCACGCACGCAGGAACGGCUCAACCGUUUCAAAAAGAACCUGCCUGUCCCUGCUAGGGCAACGACGGAGCGGCGACCCUAACUUCAUUCGGCCGGCUGUAUGGCUACGUAGCCCCGAGGUAGCUUUACAGUCCGCUGAGUAUAUUCCCUAACCCCUCCGUUUUAUAAUGUGUUGAACCCUUCCAUCUUUAGUGCGCUCUCAACGCGAGAACCCCUCCCGUUCCUAACGACCCGCGAACUAAAGACCUUCCCCUAAGCACUCCCUUAGCGACUAAACCUAAAAGCCCUCCGUUUGUUCGUCGGAGCUCGUAUAAGGGGUACGGUCUACUUCUCCUCCUACCACCUCCCUUCCUGGUCGCGACCACCACCAGCAUACCGUUCCCGCUAACCACCUCCCUCCUUUUCUCAUCCCGCUGACGAAGGAAGAGAGCGUAGGCGAAAGAGCGGGCACAGUGGCACGGCAGUCCUCCUGAGGCUGUCACUGCUAAGGUCGCUUCGUCGUCGCCUUCUGCUUGUGUUGUCUCUGCGUGUUCGUCCUCUGGUUGUCCGUCACCGUUCAGAAGAGAUACGGAAUGUUCAAGGUGCACAUGAUCGAAAAUCACGUCCAGUCAGCGGUUGUCCCCUGUAGCUGUUCGUACAUGCAGCGGUCUGCGCAGAGAGAGGUGGACGUUCUACUAAAAGGCACCGUGCCGGAAGGAGUCUUUGCUUGUUGACGCUCGUGAGUCUAAGAAGUAAAUGCUUUAUAAGUUGGUUAAGCUGGUACAGUCUACGUCAAAACGAACCUUCCCUCGACCAUAUAAACAUUAACUACACAUACUACCGUACAGAAGACUUACGUUCGAAGCAGAGUUAUCCUCUAGGAGGUUGAAGUCACAUAACUUCAAACUGCCUAACCUCUUAGUCUACCAUCAGCGACCUCUACGUUCCUUGAGGGUACGAACGUCGCUACGUGAACCACCCGUAAGGAACGUAAACAGGACAUCUUAGUGCGCCCAUGUACAUAAAUUAAUAUCGUUUCAGUGGUACAGAAAUAGUACGGUCAUACGGUUACGGGUCUUUAAUCUAUUGUCUCCCUUCAGUGGUCGAGACUUUCGUAUGGUUUAUAAAGUCAAAAAUCCGGUGACGAGUUAAAACUUCUCGAUGAGGAAACUUGAUCUAUACACUCGAAAAACAUUUGAUGUCCUAUAGUAUCAAACGAUUGACCUUUUUCUUGAGAAACUACAACCCGUAUAGGACAUCAUGAAUUUAGUAAUAAAAAAAUGUGUACACUACGUUUAGAAUAAGCAAAUCUUUUUACCACUUAGAUGUCCUAACCAUACUUGAGUCUUAUGUUUAAAACCCUGUAGAUAAUUGUAACUUUCUCUUACUUACACUUCUGUUAUACACACGACCACAGGACCCUAAGUAGUCAACAUAGUCCUUUUGGUUUCAUUUUGUCCAUGAGUCUAAAAAAAAUAAGAUGUAAAAGGUCUAUAUCGUUUCCAACAUGGUGUCUUUCAUAGCACACGCACCGACUGUGUUUGAGGUUUACACCGUGGAGAACAGUUUUCAAGUGACAUACUUGCUCCUAGUACAUAAACGAAACUAGAGUUGGAAACCUACGUCAAUCUUCCAAAGUAGUAUUGUUUUUAACAAUCAAAAACAUUUAAUUGGAGUGGUAAAACUACUAACAUCCUGUAGUAACAAGAGGUUAUACUUUGAUAUCUCUUCCCUGGACUGCAUGUAAACACAUUGUGUCAAGUCAUUUGUGCAGACCUCUGAUAAAGAAGAAGCUCUAACUAAAUGAACCACCACGAUAACGGGUAAAGGAGAAUUGUUCUGUACACACUACAAGGUCUUUUCCUCGAAUACACAACAGACCAUCGGAACUACCAUCAAAAUAUGUACAUCGACUCCUUUCACACGAACUUCGCGCAGGACAAUUUUUUUACCCUUCCCCUGGACACGACCAAAACUCAGUAUGAAUAACCCAUCCGGGAACGCCAAAAACGAGAGAGGUAACGGUGCCGGAGCCAGCCCAACACUAUUCCUUUUACUGUAUCGCAACUACACCACGAAGUGACGAUCGACUUAAAACGGUAACGACCACGAUCGACUUGAAACACCAUCGAUUUAAAACGAUAGCGACGACGAUCGACUUAAAACGUGUCUGUAUUACGAGUAGAUCUGUACAAAAAGGUCAUCUUCACUCUUUAUAUACGUCCAAAAAUACGGUUUUCGAAAAUUAUAAAAAAGAGUAUUACAUUCAUUUGACUACAACGUACGGUACCGAUUCCUAAAUCAAGGUCGUCUUCGUUGUGUAUAAGUAGAACGGAUGAUAGGGUAGUCACCUACAGUCAGAGUAAAAAGACUAGGAUGUGAACUCGAUUCUUAAGUAACGGGAAAAAAACUUGUCCGACGUCAUUGGUCAAACAGUGAUGAAGUAACCUAUAUUACCUCGUAUAGCAGUAACGCAUACGUUUUCGUACAAAGUUUUAAAUUUAAUGGUACCGCGUAAAUUAAGAAAACCUUAUGAUUUGUUAGUACGCCGAGAGAUGUCUAAAAUUUUAAGUACCAUCCUGGUGUCCUCAUAUGAUGAAACAACCCCCCUCUAUUAAACAACUUGCCUAUCGCAACUACGGAACGUUUCAAAGCGUCUCUUGUUCGAUAUACACCUAAAGAAGGUUAACGUCGUUCGAAGCUCGUUCG
rnacentral:rRNA from 1 species